GAUGAAGAACGUAGCGAAAUGCGAUACGUAAUGUGAAUUGCAGAUCUCUCAGUGAACCAUCGAAUCUUUGAACGCACAUUGCGCCCCUCGGUAUUCCUUGGGGCAUGCCUGUUCGAGCGUCAUUUAAACCCUCAAGCCCAGCUUGGUGUUGGGUGCUUGUCCCUCCCCCGGACUCACCUCAAAGACAUUGGCAGCCCGCAUCCGCCGGCCGUGAGCGCAGCACAGUCGCGCCCUAGGCUCCGGCGGGUCGGCUUUCCAGAAGCCCAUCUCCUUCUAUUGACCUCGGAUCAGGUAGGGAUACCCGCUGAACUUAAGCAUAUCAAUAAGCGGAGGA
rnacentral:misc_RNA from 1 species